CCACUGUAAGAACUAGAUACCACCCUCUUUGAUUCCUAUCUAACCGCCAUCAAUAAUCUGUGGUUGUUCCCCUUCCAACUACUUCCCAAAAUUUUCCUCCCUCAUUCCAGUAGAACUUUUACAGACUAUCCGUCAACCAUUUAACCUCUUUCUCCUGAAAGAUGAUCGUCAUCGGAAACCCUUUUCAUUCUCACUCGAGCGCAGACGUGCUGUUUUUCCUCCUGCAACCACCAUGUUGAAGGACAGUCUCUAUCACCAAAAAUUGCCGAUUCUUGCCAGCCAUUCUCUUCCAACCGAAUCAGUGGCUGCCGUAAGCGUCCGAUCUACCACCCCAUCGAACACCCCACACACCCGUCUAACAUGCCGUCAAUCUUGUCUAGUAUAGAAAAUCUCUUAAACAAUAUAUCACAAAGUUUCCCAAUCUCUUGAGCAGGAGACUUGACGAAUUUAUUCUAAGAUCAUCGACAAUUAUAGAUAUCAUACUACUUGAGAGGAAACACUGACCAUCUUCAAUCAUUAUAGGUACUUAGGGUCCUCAUAGGUAAAAUUCCCCGCAAAAUCUUAAAAAAACAUAAAAUAAUAUUGUAGAAUUAAAGAUAUAUGAAAAUGCAAUCAUAAUAGUAAAACAAUAAUGAAAUAAUACCCUAUAAUUCCUUAACUUUAACUGAUGCUAGACCAUAUAAGGAUUAACACUAAGAACUUUAGUUCAAUUAGGAAACAUUUUUACAUUGUUUUCCAAGACAUUUGAUUUUGAUUUUGUUUAAGAUUUGAAAACUAAUAUUAUUACCCACAGUGUAUGCUCUGUAUUAACCUAAAGAACAUGUUAAGUUACCAUAAACAGAACACUUUUCAGAUAUAGCAUUUCAUAUCUUAUUUUUCUGUCUGCUCUGCAGUUCUUAUCAUUCUUCCUUUAAGCCUUGCUAAUUCCUCUACUUGGUGUCUCCUUUUUAACCAGUUUCUUCUUUUUGCUCUCUCCAUUUUACUGUUUCUUCUUCAACUUUUUGAAGUGCUCAGUGCCUUAGCACCAAAGAAUGUCAAGAAAAAAAAAUUAUAUCAAAGUUUUUUCUAAAGAAAAAAAAAUUUAUCAAAAUGAAGAAAAAUGAGUUACAAUGGCAGAGGCUAAAGUUUUUUUAAUAGACUUUUUCUCCUACUCUCAGGUGUUGUGGCCCUUUCUCUUAUCCUGACUGGUGAUCCACUUAGCUUUUCCUUGUAUGUGAAUGGUUGAUUUAACAUAAAAUAGAUGGAAGGACCAGGGCCAACCUUUUCUUUCCCCUGACCAAGUCUUUCUAUUUUGAAAUUCAGAUAUCAGGGCCCCAACAGCUAGUUAUAGAUCCAUUUGGAAUUUGUAGCAGGCAUGGCAACUCAAAGUUUCCUAUCUCACUCUCUCUCUCAUCCCUAUUUGGAUAAAGAUUAUCCUCUAUCAGAAGAUACAAUGCAAGACCAAACUAAGAGGAUAGAAGAUGAACAAUAUACUGAUUACCUACAUUUGAAUUCAUUCUACACAUUUUUCUCAAAGUAAAUUCCAUGCAAUUGAUUAACAAUAAUUUAUUUUCCGAUAACCCAAGGAAAAAUAAUAAUGAAGUUUCUUAUAUAACGAACUUCUGCCUGGAUUAGGCAACUUCUCUACAUUGCAGUUUAAUCAAAAUUUCCCUUUGAAGACCUAAUUUAAUCAAUUUUAAUGCAUUUCUCCUAAAAAAAUGUUGAUAAGUUUCCAAAAUAAACUAUGUUAGUAUUUAUUGACAAACCUGUGAAACCUGUUUAGCAACAGUAUUUAGAAUAGACUUCCACCUGAGACAUGAGCGGAUCCUGAUAAUUUUCCCUUUGAGCCUUGUGCUCCAUC
rnacentral:lncRNA from 1 species